GAUGUUUCUGUGGUGUAGUGGUUAUCACGUUUGCUUUACACGCAAAAGGUCUCCGGUUCGAUCCCGGGCAGGAACAACUAAG
rnacentral:tRNA from 1 species